rnacentral:rRNA from 1 species
CGCGUAGGUGGCCUUCUAAGUCGAACGUGAAAUCCCUGGGCUCAACCCAGGAACUGCGUCCGAGACUGGGAGGCUUGAAUCCGGGAGAGGGAUGCGGAAUUCCAGGUGUAGCGGUGAAAUGCGUAGAUAUCUGGAGGAACACCGGUGGCGAAGGCGGCAUCCUGGACCGGUAUUGACACUGAGGCGCGAAAGCCAGGGAGGCAAACG